CCGUCGAGCCAUUCCCCGGUCAUUCCCGUACGUCGCAUUGAAGCCAAGCACUUCCCCUUCACCCACCCCGUGCGCACUCUCUCUCCCUCGCUCAACUCGCUCUCCUCCUCCGUCCAGACGCCAUGGGCGGAGCGUGAGCGACUCGCGUUCGCCGAUCGAAUCCGUGAGCUCCUCUCCAUGGAUUUCAAAUCCACUGCACCCAAAGCUGGACCACCUCUCUAGCUCCCUCCUCAACCCCUCCAGCCACAGCCAUGACCCUCACCUCGCCGGGAAUCCCGAAUUCCCCAGCCGUCAGUUCGAGUUUCGCCCAAACUCGACCUCACCGUGGAACUCCAUCGUCCGGCCGCCCUGUUUUGACUCCUUGCAACCGGAGGUUUCCCACCACCUCCUCCAUCUUCCCCAACCCCUGGCCAAGCUCCUCCUCGGCCCAAUCGACGGCAAUCGAAGCUCCUCCGGCCGUUCACCAUUGGAGCCGCUCAAAGCUUGAGGCCGCCAUCGAUCAGCUCCCUCCGGCCGUUUCUCCUCGCCCCGGACCCCAAGAAUCGACUCCCCGAAGCUGUAGCGGAGAAGGUUGUCUACGAGGUGGUUGUGGAGCCACAAGAGCCAUUAGAGCAGGCCCAGCAGGAGGAGAGGCGUGAGACCCCGGCCAAAGGCCAAGUUCACCCCAGUGUAGAGCAGCAGCCAGAAGGCAAACCCCGGACCCCAGGACGUUGACUUCUGCCCCUGCUGUGCCAAGUUCGUCUGCCGUGAUGCAGAGGGGUGGCAGGUUGUGAAGAGAUACCCUUAGGUUGGGGCGUCAGUUGGGUUGCACAUUUGAGGGCCGAGUUUGCAGCCCUUAGUUUUUGCGUGGACCGGUCUGACCACCCUCAGUUUUUGCGUGGACCGGUCGGACCGGUCAGUGGACCGGUCUGACUGGUAGGGGGAGUUAUGGUUGUGGCGACCGGUCUGACCGGUUGAAGGAACCGGUCUGACCGGUUGGACAAAGACAGUGAUGGUGGUAGUAGUGUAGAUGUAGGUUCUUUCCCUUUUGAUCUGUGGCUGCAUCUUUUGUAAAGUUGUAAAUUAUGUAUGUAUAAUUGAACCCGGUCUGUAAAACUUAAUGUUUCAUGGCGUGUUGUAUUUGUGUAUUUUCAAGUAACUGUCAUGCUUGUACCAUCUGC